GAUGAACGCUGGCGGCGUGCUUAACACAUGCAAGUCGAACGGGAAACCUUUUAUUGAAGCUUCGGCAGAUUUAGCUGGUUUCUAGUGGCGGACGGGUGAGUAACGCGUGGGUAACCUGCCUCAUACAGGGGGAUAACAACCAGAAAUGGUUGCUAAUACCGCAUAAGCGCACAGGACCGCAUGGUCCGGUGUGAAAAACUCCGGUGGUAUAAGAUGGACCCGCGUUGGAUUAGCUAGUUGGCAGGGUAACGGCCUACCAAGGCGACGAUCCAUAGCCGGCCUGAGAGGGUGAACGGCCACAUUGGGACUGAGACACGGCCCAGACUCCUACGGGAGGCAGCAGUGGGGAAUAUUGCACAAUGGGGGAAACCCUGAUGCAGCGACGCCGCGUGAAGGAAGAAGUAUCUCGGUAUGUAAACUUCUAUCAGCAGGGAAGAUAGUGACGGUACCUGACUAAGAAGCCCCGGCUAACUACGUG
rnacentral:rRNA from 1 species